GAGUAUAUAGCUCAGUGGUAGAGCUCAUGCUUAGCAUGCUUGAGGCCCUGGAUUCAUUCCCCAGUACCUCCA
rnacentral:tRNA from 1 species